UACAGAGGUCCCAAGCGUUGUUCGGAUUCAUUGGGCGUAAAGGGUGCGUAGGUGGCGCCGUAAGUCGGGUGUGAAAUUUCGGAGCUUAACUCCGAAACUGCAUUCGAUACUGCGGUGCUUGAGGACUGGAGAGGAGACUGGAAUUCAUGGUGUAGCAGUGAAAUGCGUAGAGAUCAUGAGGAACACCUGCGGCGAAGGCGGGUUGCUGGGCCGACACUGACGCUGAUGCGCGAAAGCUAGGGGAGCGAACGGG
rnacentral:rRNA from 1 species